GCCAGUGUGGCCUAGUGGUUUCUGUUGGACUAUGACUCUGGAGACCAGGGUUUGAUUCCCAGCUUGGCCA